rnacentral:rRNA from 1 species
GACGAACGCUGGCGGCGUGCUUAACACAUGCAAGUCGAACGGAAAGGCCCUGCUUUUGUGGGGUGCUCGAGUGGCGAACGGGUGAGUAACACGUGAGUAACCUGCCCUUGACUUUGGGAUAACUUCAGGAAACUGGGGCUAAUACCGGAUAGGAGCUCCUGCUGCAUGGUGGGGGUUGGAAAGUUUCGGCGGUUGGGGAUGGACUCGCGGCUUAUCAGCUUGUUGGUGGGGUAGUGGCUUACCAAGGCUUUGACGGGUAGCCGGCCUGAGAGGGUGACCGGCCACAUUGGGACUGAGAUACGGCCCAGACUCCAACGGGAGGCAGCAGUGGGGAAGAUUGCACAAUGGGCGGAAGCCUGAUGCAGCAACGCCGCGUGCGGGAUGACGGCCUUCGGGUUGUAAACCGCUUUCGCCUGUGACGAAGCGUGAGUGACGGUAAUGGGUAAAGAAGCACCGGCUAACUACGUG